UAUUUCCCACAGCCAUUCUACAUCUUCUCCACUUCUCUCUUCUUUCCACAACGGCGCGACUCUCCCACAGCCAAGACUCCAAAGGCCUUCGAUUCUGCCCCUACCUCCGGCAACAUGACCAUUUCAGGCGAAGAGGACUAAAUAUAUAGUUCCCGAAAAUAUUUGUUUUUCUUUUCCGAAACGAAACCCCCAAGGUCCUACACUCCAUGUAUCUACCGGCGUUAUUCUUGACAGUCACCAAAACGACCGACCAAUCCUAGACCUAGCCAAGAGACCUUCUCUUCUACUCUAAUGGUCUUGAUUCUAAUAAGGACACCCAUAACAUAAUAACCCCGAAACCCUCUCAAUCGAUCUCUAAAGGACUAAAAUCAAUCCCUAAACCUCUCGAAGUCAAACCACAACUGCUCGUCUCACGGUCAAGAACCCGAACAGUGAUGGAGUCAACGAGAUUUUAUUGGAACUCACACAACUCAGUCACGUUUGCUGAGAUUGCCAGAUGAUGACAGCUUAUAGAAGAAUUUAGUAAUGGCUCUACGUUGGCUUGGCACUGCAGUGGGAGGCAUGCGUGGAUGACAGUGGCAAUUUGAUUUAAGAUUAGGAUUUUAGCAAAUCCUAAAUUCACUAUAUCGGGUCUCUGAACCGGGUUACACUUGGGCUUGAACCAACAUCUUGUAAUUGGGUUGAUAUUUGUAACUAGGUCUUGGGCCUGUAAAAUAUAAUAUGUAACAUUAAUAAUAAUAUAUUAAAAGACGGGACGAAAAUGUUAGUGUCGACAGCUGUCCCUCUUUGUUCAUUCUUGUGUCAACAAGAAUAGGGCAAAGAUGAAGAGACAGUGUGUUUUUCGUCUAGUCAACUUCAUAGUUUGAAAUAUGAUAAAGGAUAUGUUCCGCUGUCACUCAGGAAAUAUCAAAUAUGGGGAUGUUAAUCCACUACGUUGUUCUUCAGAGAAGAUUGAAUUAGGGUAAACUUGUUCUAUUAUCACUCAUGGAAUAUUAAAUCUUGAAAGAGAACGAUCUAUUUUGCUUCUUCUAAGGGAAUAUU